rnacentral:lncRNA from 10 species
UCACAGCACAUCCUUCUAGGGGCCUCUUUCUCCCAAGUCCUCCCAGGGACUUGGCAGCUUCAUCUCUAAGGCCUGCAGAGGCUGUGGCUAUGGCUGUCCAUUGUUCUCGCUCCUUGGCUUCAGUUCAGAGCCAUCAAAUCCCUGCAGCUCGCACACUGGAACAUUCAUAUUUUGGAUAAGGCCUUUGCUGUCAGUGGAAUACAGCAACACACAAGACAGACACAGUUGCCUUCCCGCUGAGGCUGGACGUCUACAAAGAAACUCUGGACAGCUAUUUGCCAAGGCGAUGGGCACUACAGAUGAGACGCACAAAUGAUAUGACUCAUGGGUGACGCUGGGCAAACCUCGGUGGUUGAGUCCUGUUGGGUUUUCUCAUAGGAGGUGCUUCCAGGAACAUUCUUGUGCAAGACCGUGUGAGAGUAUCUCCAAGAUAGACAAGUGGAAGUGAAAUUCUGGGCCAUAGUGGAUGAACACUUGCCAAGAGGUGUUGACAAAUUAGUCUUAAAUGAACCUGUACUGCAUUUUAAGGCCUGGGAGCUCUUAGUGGCCCCAUCCUUUCCAAAGCUUGUGUGGUUGGCCGAGUAAUGUCUUCCAAGAUGUCCAAUUCCCAAUCCCUGGAACUUCUGAAUGCUAGCCUGUAUGACAAAAGAGACUCUGAAGCUGGGAUUAAGUUAAGAAUCUUGAGUGGGGAGAUUAUCCUGGAUAAUCCAAAUGGGUCCUUAUAAGAAAGAGGCAUGAGAUCAGAGAACCAGAAGGUGAUGUGAGGAUGGAAUCUAAGAGAGAGUUGAGGAUGCUGUGGCUGCUGGCUUUGAAGGUGCAGGAAGGGCCAUGAGCCAAGGAAUGUGAGAAAUGGAGCUGGAGUUGCCAGAAAAGGCAAGAACAGGGAAUCUUCCUGAGAGGCUGCAGAAGGAGCCAGCUGUGCAACACCUUGACUUUAGCCCAGCGAGACUGUUUUCCAACUUCUGAGCUCCAAAACUAGCUUUCCAAGGUGAAAGUGUUGGACACUCUUUCUUCAUCUCAGAUUUAAUCAACUAAGAAUGCUGCAAAUUGAACACCAGUCCACAAAACUCAGGAAUACAUGAAAAGCAUUGUGCCUUAUUUUUAACUAACUCAAAUUCUAUGUCAGUCUCCCUUUUAUGCUGGAUGUUGGCGCUAAAUCUCAGUGGGUUCCUCAUUCUGCCAGACCUGUGUCCAGUUUGGGGGCUUCACAUAGAGCCACCCCAUCACAGGAGAGGGAAGGGUCUUGCUCUUGGUUGCCAUCACUCCACCCUCUUGUCUUCCGAGCUUUGAUGUUCACUUUCCUUUUCACCACUCGGAAGCUUCCUGCCAUGAUACAUUGAGACCUCAAUGUUAAUGCCAAUUGGGGUUUGGGGUUCUCAUAAACUCAGAAGUCCAGGAAAAUCGCCUGCUGCCUCCCACAACACUCUGAGGGCAUUCUGGAAUCCUACCACUUACCUGGAGCCUGCUGGCCUCAACUGUUUUGAAGUCUGUGUCUGGGCCAUGCAGGUAAAUGGGAGGAUGUUCUGUGGCCAUAAAAAUACCCGAAGUCCCACCUAAAGUUGAUGCAGGGUCUUCUGCAUUUCAUUGCAAAAUUGUUCUAUCAUUUCUAUAGUUUUCAGCCUACAGUCAGGGGCCAGGACUUUGCACCCUUGGUAAACCUCAAUCUCUUCUCCUUCCUGGCUUCUACUCCUUUCUCCCUCAAUCCCAAAUCAAGGCCCUUGAUUGUCUGGAGGUAGGAAAGCCUGGUUCUGGCUCAUGAUAUAGUCUACAUCAUAGCCUUUGUCAUCUCAUGGAUUCACUCAACAACCGUGUGUGGAUGGGGCCACCCAAUAUGUGCCAGGAGUUGAGGACACGCAGGGUUAUGAUGAUGAAAUAGAUAAGGGGCCCACACUCACGGACCCUGCAGGACAGUGGAGCUGUGGACCCAGCAUGCGAGUAAAGACCCAGUGAGCUCACCAGACAGAUCAUUUAAAUCAGGUGAUAGGACAGUGAAGGGCGGGGGCUGCAUUAGUUUUGGUGGCAAGAGAAGGAUUAUCUUCUGAGAGGAUCCACAAAGUAAAGAGGGCCGGUAUGACUGGGUAGAGUGAGGACCGUGGUUGAGGCAGAAGAUGGAGCUCUUUAUUGAGCUCUAGGGAGCCCGUCGGAUGGGACCUACGGGGCUUGAGGGAGCCCAUCGGAUGGGACCUACGGGGCUUGAGGGAGCCCAUCGGAUGGGACCUACGGGGCUUGAGGGAGCCCAUCGGAUGGGACCUACGGGGCUUGAGGGAGCCCAUAGGAUGGGACCUACGGGGCUUGGCGGACUUAAUUUUAAAUGUGGAAGAAGCCAUUGCAGAGCCUGAACCUGAGGUGUGGCAUGGUUCGAGUUACUUCAAACCAAAUUUAUUGAAAUCUCUUUGCAUAAAAUGCAAUGCGUAGAUCUUAAGAGUAUAGUUCAAUGAGAUUUGAUAAAUGUAUGCACCAGUGUAACAACUCCUCCAGUCAAGAUAAAGAAACGUCCCUCACUAUUUCCUCAUGCCCCUUCAUAGUCAAUAUCUGAUCCACUCAGCCUAGGCAACCAUUGAUCUGCUUUUAUCACCAUAGAUAUUUGGGUAUGAGUCUUUGUAUGAUCAGCUAUUUUUAUGUUGCUUGGGUAAAUAUUUAGGAAUAGAACUGCUGAGGCCAAGGAUAGAAUAUUUAACUUGAUUGCCGACUGUUUUUCCCAAGUGGUUGUACCACGUUCUGCCUCCACCAGCAUGUGUGAGUUUCCAGGGCUUCUUGUCCUUGCCAGAUACCAGGUGGUUGCAUGCCGUGUCCCAGUGGCUGUUGGGAAUCACAGUAGCUGGGCCCAAGAUGACUCUGGAGGACUUUACAUUUGCGCCCAUCUGUGGGUCCUCCUAUGCCAGUGUUUCCCAAAGCAUGGGCCAUGCGCAUUAUUCUUUCCAAAAUGAUGUCAUAUGGUGCAUAGGAAUGUCAUGGAAUACAAUGGAAUCACUCUGGAAGGAACUUUUCCCUUCUCAGGUGUUGUUUGAAUAUUCCUGAUGUGAUCGAGGAGAUUAACUGCUACUUAACAUCUCUGCACCGCUUGCUAAACUCCUUGUUAAAAUUAUGCUUUUUAUUUUGAAGGAGUUCUAGAUUCACAUGCGUUGUAAGAAAUAACAGAGAGAUUGCAUGUACUCUUCACCCAGUUUCUCCCAAUGGUAACAUCUUGCGAAACUAUGGUGCAAAAUCAAAACCAAAUCUCUUUUUAUAACAAAGAGAGGGUUCCCACCUCAAGCUCAGAUCCUUCCCUGUGUAGCUAGAACUUAGUAACAGUGUUUUAUUUUAUUAUAUUCAGUUUCAAGGGUUACAUUCUAUUUAUAACAAAUGAUACUGGUUUUCCCUUUACAAUAAUGAUAAAAUUUUAUUACUGAGUAAAUUGAUUUAUGUUUAAAAAUUGAGUUAUUUUAAAGAAUAUAUUAUAUAAAUGAUUGUGCUAGCUGUAUGAAAAUGAAAGUGAAUGAUACAUAAUUGAAUUUCAGGAAACACUGAAAACACUGAAGCUACACUAUCAAAUGGAAUGCUUUCCAGACCCUACUUUUUCUACAUUGAACAACUACUAUGAAUCUGAUACAUCAUGAAUAAACCCAUCAAUUCACUGCAUUUAUGCACGCAAUCGAUAUUUAUUGAGGGCCUUAUGAAUGUAACGAUUUUUCUGGGCCUUGAGGAUGACACAAAGAUGAAACAAAUCAGACAGAUAUCCUAAAUUCAAAUAAUGCAUAGCCUUGCAGGGAGACAUUCAUUCACUCCAUGAAUAUUUAUGAGCACCUGGCAGGUGGCAGGUGUAUUCUAAAAAUGAGGAGGAAGCAGCAGAGGCCAGUGGAGUGCAGCUGUUUGGGGGUUCACAUGUCACUGGUAAGACAGACAAAGAGCAGGAUUCAUGGCAUUUUCUAUGAAGAUGACAAAACUUCAUGGAAAAGUAAAUGCUUGGGGAGGAGACAUGGGGAGGCCUUGUUGUACAGGCAGGUCAGGGAUGGUCUAGCUGAGGAGGAGGCACCAGAGCUGAGGCUGACAUAAGAGAAGGAGCCAAACAUGCAAAGAAGCAGUGGGAAAGUGCUCCAGGCACAGCAACAGCAAAUGCCAAGGCUGUGAGCUGGGCAUGAAACGGGUAUAAUUAUUACACAGUAGCUCUAAUUCAGGAAGGAGGAAGGGCCAAGUGUCUGGAAGAUGCAGAGUUUGGAAUAUGGAAGGGAACAGGCAAAGCUGGAAACAGUCUGAGCCCAUAAAGGCUGCACAUCAGCUCUGUAGCCAUCGGUGGAGCUGAAAGAGACAGGACAAAGGCUCAUAGGAAAGGCAGGACCUGUCCUGAGCUUGAACAACAGAGACGACCUUGAGAAACCUAUUUGCAAAAUGCUUCAAGCAUAAAUGCCAUUUCCUACUAUAACUUUCCAUAGUAGCAGGUUGAAUUGAAUCCCCCAAAAUAUUACAUUCAAAUCCUAACCCCCAGUAUCUAUGAAUGUGCCUUUAUUUGGAAACAAUCUCUUUGUAGAUGUCAUCAAGUUAAGAUAACAUCAUACAGGAUUAGGGUGGGCCCUAAAUCCAAUGAUGUCCUUUUAAAAAGCUGGACACAGAAACACAGAGAGGAGAAUGCCAGUCUAAAGUGGAGGCAGAGCUUGGAGGGAUAUGCCUACAAUAAAACAAGAAACACCAAGGAUUUCUGGAGCCAAGAAAGAGGAAUGGAACAGAUUCUCCCUCAAAGCCCUCGGAAGGAACCAACCCUGCCAACUCUUGACUUCCAACUUCUGGCCUCAAGAACUGAAAUAACACAUUUCUGUGGUUUUAGUCCCCCAAGCUGUGGCAACUAUCUUCAGCAGCCCCAGGACGCUAACAUAGCUCUGCUUCCCUUUGCAGAGCUGGGCAGGGAUUCUGCCACCUGAGGGUUUGGCAUCCAAUUCUUCUGUGAGAUAUUUACUCUUAGUGCCUUAGGCGCCAAUUAUUGUCUUUGAUUAAUUUCAGGGCCUCAAAUUGUGAACCCCUCAGUUUUUCUAACAAUGCCCCUCCUAACCCCAGUCAAGGCCAGCAGUGUUGAAGGGUUCAUUGGGAGGGGACCUGCACUGGCUGUUUGGACUAUCAGCUCCACCAGUGCCUACUGUGGCCUGUGCUUUCUUAGCACAUUUUUAAAGAAAUAAGCUAUUGAACUUGUUGAAAUAAUAAAACAACCCAGGAAUCACCUGAUCCAAAUAAACAAACACCAAUUAACUGCCACUGUGGUGGGCAGAUUCUAGGAUGGUCCAAAUGCUACAGCCUUCUGAAAUUCACAUCCUGGAGUGAUCUCUUCACAAGUGUGGGAUGGACCUAGUGACUGGCUCCUAAUGAGCAGAAUAUGGUAGAAGGGAUAAGACGCUGCUUCUGAGAUUGGGUCAUAAAAAGGCUGUGGCUUUUGCCUUGGGCACUCUCUCCUGGCCACAUCCUAAGGCAGUCUCACAGACAGGCUCACUUGGUCAGGAAUGGUGGCCUCCCUACAGACACAUGAAUGAGCUUGCAAACAGACCCCAGUCAGCCUUGAGGUAACUGCAGGCCCAGUAACACCUGGGUGCAGCCUGGUGAGAGACCCCAAGCUGGAACCACCUAGCUCAGCCAUACCCAGAUUCCCAGCCCAUAGAAACUACAAGAUAAUAAAUGUUUGUUGUUUUCAGCCACUAGGUUGUUGGAAUAAUCAGCUAUUCAGCAAUAGAUACCCAGCGUCCUCACUGUGGGGCUGCAGAGUGCUUUGAAUACCAAAAUGUUUAUUAAAGAGGAAAAUUAUCUUGGAUGAGCAUAGAUCAGAUAAGGUCAGAUUAGGGUGCUGUACUUCAUUCAUUCAUUCAGUUAGGUACACUUCAUUCAUUCAUUCAGUUAGCCAGUCAGCCACACUCAUUCCUUUAUUCAUGCUGCUAUGUGCCAAGUAUUGUCCUGGGCACUGGAGAUAAUGAAAAUAAAAACAGCCCCUGUCCAUAAUGACAUCAUAGUCUAAUGAAGAUGACAGGGCAUAUUUAAAUAAUUGCUUUUGUGAGAUAAAUGCUAACAUAUGUUCAGUCACUUUUUCAACCAACAGACAUUUUCUGAGUGCUUGCCAUUGUGCCAACCUUGUGCUAAAUGCUGGGCUUCAUACCAUGGGCAAGACUGGCCUGGGUCCUUUUCUCGUGGAGGCCAUGGUCUGCGUAGGAGGCACUUCACCCUCCAAGUACACACAGGGAAAGAAUAACUGCUCUGUCUGGUCUUAAGGGAGGGCUUCCAAAACGAAGUUCUUGAAGGAAGCCUUGAAAAAAGAGUAGGAAGUACUCUUGUUCCAGUAGUUCUGGCAGAAGAAUGGGAAGGAAAUUCCAAGGAACAGAAUGUGUGUUACUUGGAAGCAUGUGACAAUGUGGUGUGUCUGUGUCUGCAGUCCAGCAAGGAGUUCGACCUCGCUGAAUACUUUGCCUCUGAUACCACAAAGAAGGGUGCUUCUGGAUGUUUACUGCAGCAAGACUUGCAACCCUGGACACUAAGCUACCACCUGAAUGUUCGUGGGUGCCUGUUGUCUACUCAGGAUCCACACCAUGGGCACCACUGUCCCCAAGGAGGGAAGGUAGAGCCCUCCCAGGGUUCUCAGCCUCAGUAUUACUGACUCACUCUGUUGAUAGCCUGUCCUGUGCAGUGUAGGAUGUUUAGCAACAUCCCUGGCCUCUGCCCACUAGAUGCCAGUAGCUCCCCCUCCCACAUUGUGACAACCAACAUUUUCCCUGGGUAUCACCAAAUGUCCCCUGGGUGGGGGCAAAAUUGCUCCCAGGUGAUAAUCACUGCUCUUUAGAACCAACAUAUUAUUAAAAGACCAGAGAAAGACAUGAUCUUAAUUCCUAAUUCUAUGUAAAAAAAAAAGAAAAGUGAAUGUAUGUGCAUGCCCAUAGCUAUAGGAAUUGAUGGCUAAGGUCUAUGGAGCACACUCUUAUGCUCCCCAAGGUUAAAGAAUUUCCAUGAGGAGACAGUGGUGUGACAGAGACACUCAAAGGAGGGUUUAGCCUCUUUCACUCAGUGUACUCUGCAAUGAUUAAAUUGAUUAUAAUAAGAAUGUUUCCAUGUUAUCAGUUGUUUAAAGAAGUUCAAAUAUGCCCUACUCUUAUGGCCAAAGGUAUUUGUAAACAUGUCAAAAAUGGCUAUGGAAGGUCUUGGCAGCAAAGACAGGAAAAGUUAGAAAGUAUAUGUGAGUUCCCUGAGACGGAAGGGAGAAAAACAACGCCAAACUGAAGAUAAGUGUAUCAGUUAUUGCCUACAUGCCAGGAAUACCAUAUGAGAGUUUAAGAAGUUAAAAUAGGCCGGGCGUGGUGGCUCACACCUGUAAUCCCAGC